UGAACAUGCCGGACUCAUUCAACAGGAAAUGACAUCAGAGGCCCCCUGCAGAUCAUCAUGACUUAUUCAAGGAGAGCUUGCCGUGGAACUGGGAUCGGUUCAGGGCUCAAAACUGUGCUGACGGGAUGAGUCUGCGAUGGUCCCGGUGAGGAAACAUGAAGGCUGCGAACCAUCUUGGCCAACCUCUCCAACGACAAGAAAAUCAUGCGCUUCUGAUCAGAGGGAACCUGACCAGUCAUUUUCCCGGUAAUGGCUUAGGUGUGAUGUGUGGUGACAUUGCUGCACAAGGCUGUUGACACAGUAAGCAUCUCCUGGGCUCCUGGGGUACAGAUGUCCUUAGGCCUGAUAAUUUACUGCCACACAUGCCAGCAAAUGCUCGUACAGAUAUGGAAUAUUCCCACUGCUAGCAUAACCGGAUCCAAGUUAUAUUUUAUUAAUGGCCAAGUAUAACUAGUUCACUUUGCUACAUUGUUAUUAAUGGGUGAUAGA